rnacentral:misc_RNA from 1 species
AAGUCGUAACAAGGUCUCCGUUGGUGAACCAGCGGAGGGAUCAUUAUCGAGUUCUGAAAAAACUCCCAACCCCUGUGAACUAUACCUGUAACUGUUGCUUCGGCGGGACUCGUGCCCGCCGGGGGACCCAAACCUUCUGAAUUUUUAAGUAUCUUCUGAGUGGUAAAAAAAAUGAAUCAAAACUUUCAACAACGGAUCUCUUGGUUCUG